UGCAUCGGCCGGGAAUCGAACCCGGGGCGCCCGCGUUCUACCACUGAACCAAAAGC
rnacentral:tRNA from 1 species